GAGUGAACGCUGGCGGUAGGCCUAACACAUGCAAGUCGAACGGCAGCACAGUAAGAGCUUGCUCUUACGGGUGGCGAGUGGCGGACGGGUGAGGAAUACAUCGGAAUCUACUUUUUCGUGGGGGAUAACGUAGGGAAACUUACGCUAAUACCGCAUACGACCUACGGGUGAAAGCAGGGGAUCUUCGGACCUUGCGCGAUUGAAUGAGCCGAUGUCGGAUUAGCUAGUUGGCGGGGUAAAGGCCCACCAAGGCGACGAUCCGUAGCUGGUCUGAGAGGAUGAUCAGCCACACUGGAAAUGAGACACGGUCCAGACUCCUACGGGAGGCAGCAGUGGGGAAUAUUGGACAAUGGGCGCAAGCCUGAUCCAGCCAUACCGCGUGGGUGAAGAAGGCCUUCGGGUUGUAAAGCCCUUUUGUUGGGAAAGAAAAGCAGCAGGUUAAUACCCCGCUGUUCUGACGGUACCCAAAGAAUAAGCACCGGCUAACUUCGU
rnacentral:rRNA from 1 species